AGUCCAUGGUGUGGGCAGCAUCAUAGUAGGUCCUUGUAUCUCUCUUAGGUGUUGUACAUCGACUCAUCGUCAAACUGCAGAAAAGAAGAUAUAUCAUUUCUAAGUUU
rnacentral:snoRNA from 1 species